GUAGCUUGCUACCGUUUGUUUCUAGCGGCGGACGGGUGAGUAACGCGUGAGCAACCUGCCUUUAUCAGGGGGAUAACGCAUCGAAAGAUGUGCUAAUACCGCGUAAGACCACAGCUUCACAUGGAGUGGGGGUCAAAGGAGCAAUCCGGAUAAAGAUGGGCUCGCGUCCGAUUAGCUAGUUGGUGAGAUAACAGCCCACCAAGGCGACGAUCGGUAGCCGACCUGAGAGGGUGAUCGGCCACAUUGGAACUGAGACACGGUCCAGACUCCUACGGGAGGCAGCAGUGGGGAAUAUUGGGCAAUGGGCGAAAGCCUGACCCAGCAACGCCGCGUGAGGGAAGAAGGGUUUCGGCUCGUAAACCUCUGUCCUAUGGGACGAAGGAAGUGACGGUACCAUAGGAGGAAGCCCCGGCUAACUACGUGCCAGCAGCCGCGGUAAUACGUAGGGGGCGAGCGUUGUCCGGAAUUACUGGGCGUAAAGGGUGCGUAGGCGGUUUGGUAAGUUGGAUGUGAAAUACCCGGGCUUAACUUGGGGGCUGCAUCCAAUACUGUCGGACUUGAGUGCAGGAGAGGAAAGCGGAAUUCCUAGUGUAGCGGUGAAAUGCGUAGAUAUUAGGAGGAACACCGGUGGCGAAGGCGGCUUACUGGACGAUUACUGACGCUGAGGCUCGAAAGCGUGGGGAGCAAACAGGAUUAGAUACCCUGGUAGUCCACGCGGUAAACGAUGAAUGCUAGGUG
rnacentral:rRNA from 1 species